rnacentral:rRNA from 1 species
UUAAGCGACUAAGCGUACACGGUGGAUGCCCUGGCAGUCAGAGGCGAUGAAGGACGUGCUAAUCUGCGAAAAGCGUCGGUAAGGUGAUAUGAACCGUUAUAACCGGCGAUGUCCGAAUGGGGAAACCCAGUGUGAUUCGUCACACUAUCGUUAACUGAAUACAUAGGUUAACGAGGCGAACCGGGGGAACUGAAACAUCUAAGUACCCCGAGGAAAAGAAAUCAACCGAGAUUCCCCCAGUAGCGGCGAGCGAACGGGGAGCAGCCCAGAGUCUGAAUCAGCUUGUGUGUUAGUGGAACGGUCUGGAAAGUCCGACGGUACAGGGUGAUAGUCCCGUACACCAAAAUGCACAGGUUGUGAACUCGAAGAGUAGGGCGGGACACGUGGUAUCCUGUCUGAAUAUGGGGGGACCAUCCUCCAAGGCUAAAUACUCCUGACUGACCGAUAGUGAACCAGUACCGUGAGGGAAAGGCGAAAAGAACCCCGGCGAGGGGAGUGAAAAAGAACCUGAAACCGUGUACGUACAAGCAGUGGGAGCACCUUCGGGUGUGACUGCGUACCUUUUGUAUAAUGGGUCAGCGACUUAUAUUCUGUAGCAAGGUUAACCGUAUAGGGGAGCCGCAGGGAAACCGAGUCUUAACUGGGCGUUAAGUUGCAGGGUAUAGACCCGAAACCCGGUGAUCUAGCCAUGGGCAGGUUGAAGGUUGGGUAACACUAACUGGAGGACCGAACCGACUAAUGUUGAAAAAUUAGCGGAUGACUUGUGGCUGGGGGUGAAAGGCCAAUCAAACCGGGAGAUAGCUGGUUCUCCCCGAAAGCUAUUUAGGUAGCGCCUCGUGAACUCAUCUUCGGGGGUAGAGCACUGUUUCGGCUAGGGGGUCAUCCCGACUUACCAACCCGAUGCAAACUACGAAUACCGAAGAAUGUUAUCACGGGAGACACACGGCGGGUGCUAACGUCCGUCGUGAAGAGGGAAACAACCCAGACCGCCAGCUAAGGUCCCAAAGUCAUGGUUAAGUGGGAAACGAUGUGGGAAGGCACAGACAGCCAGGAUGUUGGCUUAGAAGCAGCCAUCAUUUAAAGAAAGCGUAAUAGCUCACUGGUCGAGUCGGCCUGCGCGGAAGAUGUAACGGGGCUAAACCAUGCACCGAAGCUGCGGCAGCGACACGAUGUGUUGUUGGGUAGGGGAGCGUUCUGUAAGCCUGCGAAGGUGUGCUGUGAGGCAUGCUGGAGGUAUCAGAAGUGCGAAUGCUGACAUAAGUAACGAUAAAGCGGGUGAAAAGCCCGCUCGCCGGAAGACCAAGGGUUCCUGUCCAACGUUAAUCGGGGCAGGGUGAGUCGACCCCUAAGGCGAGGCCGAAAGGCGUAGUCGAUGGGAAACAGGUUAAUAUUCCUGUACUUGGUGUUACUGCGAAGGGGGGACGGAGAAGGCUAUGUUAGCCGGGCGACGGUUGUCCCGGUUUAAGCAUGUAGGCUGGUUAUCCAGGCAAAUCCGGAUAAUCAAGGCUGAGGUGUGAUGACGAGGCACUACGGUGCUGAAGUAACAAAUGCCCUGCUUCCAGGAAAAGCCUCUAAGCAUCAGGUAACAUCAAAUCGUACCCCAAACCGACACAGGUGGUCAGGUAGAGAAUACCAAGGCGCUUGAGAGAACUCGGGUGAAGGAACUAGGCAAAAUGGUGCCGUAACUUCGGGAGAAGGCACGCUGGUGUGUAGGUGAAGCCCCUGCGGGUGGAGCUGAGACCAGUCGAAGAUACCAGCUGGCUGCAACUGUUUAUUAAAAACACAGCACUGUGCAAACACGAAAGUGGACGUAUACGGUGUGACGCCUGCCCGGUGCCGGAAGGUUAAUUGAUGGGGUUAUCCGUAAGGAGAAGCUCUUGAUCGAAGCCCCGGUAAACGGCGGCCGUAACUAUAACGGUCCUAAGGUAGCGAAAUUCCUUGUCGGGUAAGUUCCGACCUGCACGAAUGGCGUAAUGAUGGCCAGGCUGUCUCCACCCGAGACUCAGUGAAAUUGAACUCGCUGUGAAGAUGCAGUGUACCCGCGGCAAGACGGAAAGACCCCGUGAACCUUUACUAUAGCUUGACACUGAACAUUGAGCCUUGAUGUGUAGGAUAGGUGGGAGGCUUUGAAGCGUGGACGCCAGUCUGCGUGGAGCCAACCUUGAAAUACCACCCUUUAAUGUUUGAUGUUCUAACGUUGGCCCCUGACCGGGGUUGCGGACAGUGUCUGGUGGGUAGUUUGACUGGGGCGGUCUCCUCCCAAAGCGUAACGGAGGAGCACGAAGGUUAGCUAAUCCUGGUCGGACAUCAGGAGGUUAGUGCAAUGGCAUAAGCUAGCUUGACUGCGAGCGUGACGGCGCGAGCAGGUGCGAAAGCAGGUCAUAGUGAUCCGGUGGUUCUGAAUGGAAGGGCCAUCGCUCAACGGAUAAAAGGUACUCCGGGGAUAACAGGCUGAUACCGCCCAAGAGUUCAUAUCGACGGCGGUGUUUGGCACCUCGAUGUCGGCUCAUCACAUCCUGGGGCUGAAGUAGGUCCCAAGGGUAUGGCUGUUCGCCAUUUAAAGUGGUACGCGAGCUGGGUUUAGAACGUCGUGAGACAGUUCGGUCCCUAUCUGCCGUGGGCGCUGGAGAAUUGAGGGGGGCUGCUCCUAGUACGAGAGGACCGGAGUGGACGCAUCACUGGUGUUCGGGUUGUCAUGCCAAUGGCACUGCCCGGUAGCUAAAUGCGGAAGAGAUAAGUGCUGAAAGCAUCUAAGCACGAAACUUGCCCCGAGAUGAGUUCUCCCUGAGACUUUAAGUCUCCUGAAGGAACGUUGAAGACGACGACGUUGAUAGGCCGGGUGUGUAAGCGCAGCGAUGCGUUGAGCUAACCGGUACUAAUGAACCGUGAGGCUUAACCU